rnacentral:tRNA from 1 species
GGGCUGGUAGUUCAGCGGUAUGAAUGCUCGGCUCGCAUCCGAGAGGUCGGGGGUUCAAAUCCCCCCCAGUCCACCA